UAUUUUUUGCGGGGGGACUUAUUGUUGAGAAGGUUAAAACCUGACCCUUUGAACCUGUUAGUUAAUACUAACGUAGGGAGGCAAGGCGUUUUAGCUU
rnacentral:ncRNA from 1 species